CAGCCUGAAGUGUAGCUUUUGUUUUUUUUUUUUUAAAGAUUUGAGGAUUCUUAGCACAUAUAGGUCAAUUUUUUAUCCUUUUUCUUUUUAUGCUUUACUUCAUUCAAGUACUUCGGCAAAAUCAUAGAUUUUACAUGUUCUAUAAUUUUUGUUAACAUCAUUAGAAAAUCUGAAAUGCAUCACUUCAAUUGUUAAGGUGUAUUAUGUUAAUAUGUUCUAUUAUUUCUGUCUCGAUGCUUAAGACCUGGUAUGUUGAAGUUAUCUCCAUUGGCAGAUUUGUUAGUGGAAAUUAUAGGUUGUAAUGACUUUUUGGAGUCUUUUUACUUGAUUUAUUUUCCAUUCAUCUUUCUAAAGGACUUAAUAAUGAAGGUAUUUUCAGCUUUUGGAUUUGUGCAUAAGAAUACUACCUUUGAGAAGACAGCUGGAUUUCAGGUAAAUGAAUUAAAUCUCCUUCUUCCUAGAUUGAUUGGUUUGCAAUUUUUAUCAUUUAUAGCUUGUUUUGCAGUUUUUGAUCUGUUUAAUUACUUGUCUUGUGUUCUUUGUUUAUAUAUAGUCAGGGAUAUAUAUAUUGAAUGGGUACUGAUGCUAUUGAAGCAGGGGAGACUCCAUUUGACUCCUAUCCUAGUUCCUUUGAGGUACUAUUUUCGAGUUCCUUUCACUUUUUUUCUAUUCUAACUUUGAAUCUACUGUAUAAUUUGAUCGUUAUCGGGAAUAAUUACAUGCAUUUGUUUGUGUUUUUUUGCUUAAGCAAGUGUUAAAAGCCUUGGAAAUUCGGUUUGUGCCCUACAAGCUUUAAGUUAUAAUGUUUUUGAGUUUAGAUGUUUAGGUAAUUUCAUUGUGUAUGACUUAAAAUUAUAGUUAGUAAUAAUAUUACUAAAUAGUGUGUAAAGCAUGCUAAAUGAUAGGUCCAAAGAUCAAAAGAUAAAAUGUUGCUACCUAUGGGAUAAGGUCAGUAUAUCAUUUAAAACCAGACUACUCAAAAGAAAAGCAGUAACAAUAACAACAAUAAUGACAGUGAGUGACAGCAAACCAUCUCACCCUAAAGGAAGAACAACACUUUUUAAUCAACCAUCCAAUGUUGCAAACAAUCUGCACAAAGCCAUUGCCUCCAAUUAGGUAAAAACAUCCAUCCUUUUACUUUUAACAAAGAAUUUAACUUAGAGGAAAAACUGUUUUAAAGAAUAAAUAUAUCUUGCAUCACUAUACAGAUUACUAUUUGAGAGUGCACUAAUUAAUGUAGACUUCCCCUGUUAAUUGAGAAAAAGGGUAAAUGUUGAGCAUGCGAAAAUAGAGGGAAAAACACAAGAUAUCUCUAACUUGUUAGUCUGAAGAAACAAAAUAUCCUAAGCUCCCACAACCAAGAACAAAGCAAAAAAGAGGGGAGAAACCAGCAAAAACGAGGGACAAACCAGCAAGAACAAGGGAGAAACCAGCAAGAACGAGGGGAGAAACUGUUGUUUUGUUCCCAAAUCUGAAAACAAAUAAGAUUGGGAAAGAAAUUAGUUUAACAUCUAAGGAUAAAAUGAUAAAAUAAUAAAUUAAAGUAUGAGUAUUUUUGUCCAGUGCAGUGCAGCAGUGGAGAUAAGGCUUAGACAUCUCACUGUGCUAGAGCUGACUGGAGCUUUUAGCACCAGUGGAGAUAAGGCUGUCCAGUGCAGUAAAAAAGUCUCACUGUGCUGGAAGCAAGACAUCCAAACAACCAAGCAAUUCACUGUGGUGCAGUGAGAUUGAAAAUCAAGGUAAAAAUUUUCAACGCAUUGUGGUGCAGUGAGAUUGAAAACUUUGCUUUUUUUUUUUAAUUAUUAUUGUGUAAUAUAUUAUAUAGGUUAAUAUACCAUUUGGUACCCGAGCUUGGUUUUAAUGUUCAAUUUGAUACCUGAGUUUUUUGUCUCAAUUAGUAUCUAAGUUUGGCUUCAGUAUACACUUAUAGCAUGGAUAACUUAGAUUUGAAAUGUUAAAAAAGAGCCCUCUUGAAUUUUAACAUCACUAUUUUUUUUUUAA
rnacentral:lncRNA from 1 species